UAACCGGAGUUACUUGGUUUAGUUUGUGUGCAGUUGUAAUCGCAAAAGUUACAGUAGUAGCAUUAGCAUAUGUUUUAAGUACAUAGUAUGCAUCUUGCACCUUUUUCUUAAUCAAAUAUUUCUGUAUACAUUUCUAGGCCCUGCUGCUGGUCAUUAUAGCGAGGACAUUCCCAUUGAUGAUGAGGAUGAUGACGUUGAUGAGUGACUCCCAACAGUUGAUGGGGUGGAAACUGAGAGUUAAUGUUGAUAUGUUGUGAUUAACAUGCUGAAUUGCUGAUGAUCUUCUAAUAGUAUUUGAUGUUAGAUAGAUGCUUACACAAUAUUGACCGAGGAUAUAUGCACACACUGGAAUGUGGAUUUUCCACCCUACAAUAUUAACCAACCAUUUGAAAAGGAAAAAAAAAAACUCUUAGAUGAAAUAAGAUGUUUGUCUACAUAUAAACUCCUUUUUUUUUUAAACAGUCUGCAUAUAAACUCUUAAACUCCAAAUAUGGGUUUAGAAGUACAAGCCUAAAUUGAACGGGCAUUUAGAUGACAUAAUUUGUAGGAACGACCAAAAACAUUGUUUUUUGCAUCGUGUAUAUUCAUAUUGAAAGUAUAAAAAUUGCGUUUUUU
rnacentral:lncRNA from 1 species